rnacentral:rRNA from 1 species
UACGAAGGGGGCUAGCGUUGUUCGGAAUUACUGGGCGUAAAGCGCGCGCAGGCGGCUCUUCAAGUCAGGGGUGAAAGCCCAGAGCUCAACUCUGGAACUGCCUUUGAGACUGUAGAGCUUGAGUACGGGAGGGGAGAGUGGAAUUCCCAGUGUAGAGGUGAAAUUCGUAGAUAUUGGGAAGAGCACCGGUGGCGAAGGCGGCUCACUGGACCGUUACUGACGCUCAGGCGCGACAGCGUGGGGAGCAAACAGG